GUGUUCCAAGUCCCAGUCCCAUGGAGAGACCAUCUGCCAUGUUCUGUUGCCUGUCCCAGUUGAGCUCAAACUUCAAAUCAUGCCAGCCCAGACAACAGGUCUCCAGAUCCUGCUUCCCUGCUUUGGUGGAUACAUAUGACAGAAAGAAUCAAAGGAGCAUUUAAUAAGCACCAGCUACAUGGCAAGUUCUAAGCAAGGUUUGCUGCUACCUACCUCACAGUGUGGUCCUGAAGAUCAGAUGAUCAAGUACGGGGCAAGUGCACCAUCCAGUGAGGUCACUCCUCUCCACUGCCCGACGUCUAGGGACUCUGUGCUGGUCUUUGAGGAAGUGCAAUUUAUUAAAUACAUAUGCUUUCAAAGGA